rnacentral:rRNA from 1 species
GGGUUGUGAGGUUAAGCGACUAAGCGUACACGGUGGAUGCCCUGGCAGUCAGAGGCGAUGAAGGACGUGCUAAUCUGCGAUAAGCGUCGGUAAGGUGAUAUGAACCGUUAUAACCGGCGAUUUCCGAAUGGGGAAACCCAGUGUGUUUCGACACACUAUCAUUAACUGAAUCCAUAGGUUAAUGAGGCGAACCGGGGGAACUGAAACAUCUAAGUACCCCGAGGAAAAGAAAUCAACCGAGAUUCCCCCAGUAGCGGCGAGCGAACGGGGAGCAGCCCAGAGCCUGAAUCAGUGUGUGUGUUAGUGGAAGCGUCUGGAAAGGCGCGCGAUACAGGGUGACAGCCCCGUACACAAAAAUGCACAUGCUGUGAGCUCGAUGAGUAGGGCGGGACACGUGGUAUCCUGUCUGAAUAUGGGGGGACCAUCCUCCAAGGCUAAAUACUCCUGACUGACCGAUAGUGAACCAGUACCGUGAGGGAAAGGCGAAAAGAACCCCGGCGAGGGGAGUGAAAAAGAACCUGAAACCGUGUACGUACAAGCAGUGGGAGCACGCUUAGGCGUGUGACUGCGUACCUUUUGUAUAAUGGGUCAGCGACUUAUAUUCUGUAGCAAGGUUAACCGAAUAGGGGAGCCGAAGGGAAACCGAGUCUUAACUGGGCGUUAAGUUGCAGGGUAUAGACCCGAAACCCGGUGAUCUAGCCAUGGGCAGGUUGAAGGUUGGGUAACACUAACUGGAGGACCGAACCGACUAAUGUUGAAAAAUUAGCGGAUGACUUGUGGCUGGGGGUGAAAGGCCAAUCAAACCGGGAGAUAGCUGGUUCUCCCCGAAAGCUAUUUAGGUAGCGCCUCGUGAAUUCAUCUCCGGGGGUAGAGCACUGUUUCGGCAAGGGGGUCAUCCCGACUUACCAACCCGAUGCAAACUGCGAAUACCGGAGAAUGUUAUCACGGGAGACACACGGCGGGUGCUAACGUCCGUCGUGAAGAGGGAAACAACCCAGACCGCCAGCUAAGGUCCCAAAGUCAUGGUUAAGUGGGAAACGAUGUGGGAAGGCCCAGACAGCCAGGAUGUUGGCUUAGAAGCAGCCAUCAUUUAAAGAAAGCGUAAUAGCUCACUGGUCGAGUCGGCCUGCGCGGAAGAUGUAACGGGGCUAAACCAUGCACCGAAGCUGCGGCAGCGACGCUUAUGCGUUGUUGGGUAGGGGAGCGUUCUGUAAGCCUGCGAAGGUGUGCUGUGAGGCAUGCUGGAGGUAUCAGAAGUGCGAAUGCUGACAUAAGUAACGAUAAAGCGGGUGAAAAGCCCGCUCGCCGGAAGACCAAGGGUUCCUGUCCAACGUUAAUCGGGGCAGGGUGAGUCGACCCCUAAGGCGAGGCCGAAAGGCGUAGUCGAUGGGAAACAGGUUAAUAUUCCUGUACUUGGUGUUACUGCGAAGGGGGACGGAGAAGGCUAUGUUGGCCGGGCGACGGUUGUCCCGGUUUAAGCGUGUAGGCUGGUUUUCCAGGCAAAUCCGGAAAAUCAAGGCUGAGGCGUGAUGACGAGGCACUACGGUGCUGAAGCAACAAAUGCCCUGCUUCCAGGAAAAGCCUCUAAGCAUCAGGUAACAUCAAAUCGUACCCCAAACCGACACAGGUGGUCAGGUAGAGAAUACCAAGGCGCUUGAGAGAACUCGGGUGAAGGAACUAGGCAAAAUGGUGCCGUAACUUCGGGAGAAGGCACGCUGAUAUGUAGGUGAGGUCCCUCGCGGAUGGAGCUGAAAUCAGUCGAAGAUACCAGCUGGCUGCAACUGUUUAUUAAAAACACAGCACUGUGCAAACACGAAAGUGGACGUAUACGGUGUGACGCCUGCCCGGUGCCGGAAGGUUAAUUGAUGGGGUUAGCGCAAGCGAAGCUCUUGAUCGAAGCCCCGGUAAACGGCGGCCGUAACUAUAACGGUCCUAAGGUAGCGAAAUUCCUUGUCGGGUAAGUUCCGACCUGCACGAAUGGCGUAAUGAUGGCCAGGCUGUCUCCACCCGAGACUCAGUGAAAUUGAACUCGCUGUGAAGAUGCAGUGUACCCGCGGCAAGACGGAAAGACCCCGUGAACCUUUACUAUAGCUUGACACUGAACAUUGAGCCUUGAUGUGUAGGAUAGGUGGGAGGCUUUGAAGUGUGGACGCCAGUCUGCAUGGAGCCGACCUUGAAAUACCACCCUUUAAUGUUUGAUGUUCUAACGUUGACCCGUAAUCCGGGUUGCGGACAGUGUCUGGUGGGUAGUUUGACUGGGGCGGUCUCCUCCUAAAGAGUAACGGAGGAGCACGAAGGUUGGCUAAUCCUGGUCGGACAUCAGGAGGUUAGUGCAAUGGCAUAAGCCAGCUUGACUGCGAGCGUGACGGCGCGAGCAGGUGCGAAAGCAGGUCAUAGUGAUCCGGUGGUUCUGAAUGGAAGGGCCAUCGCUCAACGGAUAAAAGGUACUCCGGGGAUAACAGGCUGAUACCGCCCAAGAGUUCAUAUCGACGGCGGUGUUUGGCACCUCGAUGUCGGCUCAUCACAUCCUGGGGCUGAAGUAGGUCCCAAGGGUAUGGCUGUUCGCCAUUUAAAGUGGUACGCGAGCUGGGUUUAGAACGUCGUGAGACAGUUCGGUCCCUAUCUGCCGUGGGCGCUGGAGAACUGAGGGGGGCUGCUCCUAGUACGAGAGGACCGGAGUGGACGCAUCACUGGUGUUCGGGUUGUCAUGCCAAUGGCACUGCCCGGUAGCUAAAUGCGGAAGAGAUAAGUGCUGAAAGCAUCUAAGCACGAAACUUGCCCCGAGAUGAGUUCUCCCUGACCCUUUAAGGGUCCUGAAGGAACGUUGAAGACGACGACGUUGAUAGGCCGGGUGUGUAAGCGCAGCGAUGCGUUGAGCUAACCGGUACUAAUGAACCGUGAGGCUUAACCUUACAACGCCGAAGCUGUU